UACCCAAGCAAAAACUUCCAACGGUCCAAAACCCAAACCUCAAACCUUCUCAAUUUCUCAUCUCUCUCCCUCUUUCUUAUCAAUUCCUCUUUCUACUCUCCGAAGCCCGAAAUGACUGAUCGGACGGCGGACGCUUGCCCUCCCUUUACCCCUUUCCUCUUCUUCUCAUUCUUCUUCCCAAAUCCAAGGACCGGAUCCCCUUUUCAGUUUUUCCUUUUCCUCGUCUUCUCAUUCUCCAUUUCUCCAUCCCAAAUCUGAUCCGAGCAUCCGACGACCCUUCGCUGGAGCGGAGCCUGGAACUGAAGAGAUUGGUGCUCUCUCUCUCUUUCUCCUUUUCAUAUGUUGCGGCCCUUGCCGGUUGGCAAACACCAUCACCCGUGGCCCACACAGGCCGUGGGUCCCAUGGGCCCACCUGCAGAGAUGAUAUGGCCCAACAAUGAUGGUGAGAUCGAAGGAGGUGGUUGUGGGUCCGAGCGUUUUACGGUUGAAGGGGUUUUACGGUUGAAGGGUAUGCCGAUGCUAGAAGGGAAGCAUCUUCGCUUUCCUGAAGGAGAGGAUUGAAGGGAAUUUUCUCUGAAGUUCUGGAAUUUUUGAAGAUCUGAGUCACAGAUUUGGAAUGUACAAUCAAUGUCUAAGAAGAUGCAUGUACAUGGAGAUUGCUGGAUGCCAGGACUCCAUGGAAGGAAUGCUGAUCUUAGAUGGAAAUAUAGAGAUCUCUUUCAACAAUUCCUCAAGAUGCAAACAAAGAAGCAGAUUAACUAGCUGAGAACAAACUAGAGUGUUGAUGGCAAUUUCCCACUAGAUUCUUUCGUCAUACUCAAUUGGGCGUUUGAGAAUUAAAUCUCUCACCUUUCCCUUUUUACUCUCCAGCAAGGCAUGCUUCGUCUUUAUGUUUCUUCAAACAUGCAUGUGCAUGUAUGUAUGUAUGUGCGUAUUUACAUUCAUUCAAGAUUGACCCGGUUACAAUUUCGCUAUA